CUUUCAGUACCAUGUUUCCUCAAAAUCCAAAUAAAACUAAACAUAUUUGGAUUUUGAGGAAACAUGGUACUGAAAA
rnacentral:pre_miRNA from 1 species